rnacentral:rRNA from 1 species
UGCAGUCGAGCGAACAGAUAAGGAGCUUGCUCCUUUGACGUUAGCGGCGGACGGGUGAGUAACACGUGGGUAACCUACCUAUAAGACUGGGAUAACUUCGGGAAACCGGAGCUAAUACCGGAUAACAUUUGGAACCGCAUGGUUCUAAAGUGAAAGAUGGUUUUGCUAUCACUUAUAGAUGGACCCGCGCCGUAUUAGCUAGUUGGUAAGGUAACGGCUUACCAAGGCAACGAUACGUAGCCGACCUGAGAGGGUGAUCGGCCACACUGGAACUGAGACACGGUCCAGACUCCUACGGGAGGCAGCAGUAGGGAAUCUUCCGCAAUGGGCGAAAGCCUGACGGAGCAACGCCGCGUGAGUGAUGAAGGGUUUCGGCUCGUAAAACUCUGUUAUUAGGGAAGAACAAAUGUGUAAGUAACUGUGCACAUCUUGACGGUACCUAAUCAGAAAGCCACGGCUAACUACGUGCCAGCAGCCGCGGUAAUACGUAGGUGGCAAGCGUUAUCCGGAAUUAUUGGGCGUAAAGCGCGCGUAGGCGGUUUCUUAAGUCUGAUGUGAAAGCCCACGGCUCAACCGUGGAGGGUCAUUGGAAACUGGGAAACUUGAGUGCAGAAGAGGAAAGUGGAAUUCCAUGUGUAGCGGUGAAAUGCGCAGAGAUAUGGAGGAACACCAGUGGCGAAGGCGACUUUCUGGUCUGUAACUGACGCUGAUGUGCGAAAGCGUGGGGAUCAAACAGGAUUAGAUACCCUGGUAGUCCACGCCGUAAACGAUGAGUGCUAAGUGUUAGGGGGUUUCCGCCCCUUAGUGCUGCAGCUAACGCAUUAAGCACUCCGCCUGGGGAGUACGACCGCAAGGUUGAAACUCAAAGGAAUUGACGGGGACCCGCACAAGCGGUGGAGCAUGUGGUUUAAUUCGAAGCAACGCGAAGAACCUUACCAAAUCUUGACAUCCUUUGAAAACUCUAGAGAUAGAGCCUUCCCCUUCGGGGGACAAAGUGACAGGUGGUGCAUGGUUGUCGUCAGCUCGUGUCGUGAGAUGUUGGGUUAAGUCCCGCAACGAGCGCAACCCUUAAGCUUAGUUGCCAUCAUUAAGUUGGGCACUCUAGGUUGACUGCCGGUGACAAACCGGAGGAAGGUGGGGAUGACGUCAAAUCAUCAUGCCCCUUAUGAUUUGGGCUACACACGUGCUACAAUGGACAAUACAAAGGGCAGCUAAACCGCGAGGUCAUGCAAAUCCCAUAAAGUUGUUCUCAGUUCGGAUUGUAGUCUGCAACUCGACUACAUGAAGCUGGAAUCGCUAGUAAUCGUAGAUCAGCAUGCUACGGUGAAUACGUUCCCGGGUCUUGUACACACCGCCCGUCACACCACGAGAGUUUGUAACACCCGAAGCCGGUGGAGUAACCAUUUAUGGAGCUAGCCGUCGA